rnacentral:misc_RNA from 1 species
CUGACUCUCUCAACUCUUAACUCUACUCUUCGGCUUCUCGACUAACUCUGACCUCUCGACUCACUCUCAUUUCUCGAUUAACCGCUCAACGCUUCUCGAUCAACAACUCUUUGAAUUCAAAUUGUCCCCCUCCAUUAGCGCUAUUUUUUCCUCAUUCUUUCCUGUUAACGUUCCACAAGGACUAGGUGACUUUAGUCACAUGGGCUUUUUUCUAUAUAAACUAAUAACCGAAGGACAGACGACAUUGUUUUGGUUAGUUUCUAACCAGGUUUUUUCCUCGCGAUACUACACUAAUAUGUAUGUAUAUCUCCAUACCAUUCCAUAAAGGAGAACCAUUCAAAACGUUCGAGUCAGACACUUGUAUUAUUCAGGUUCUAUUUGAGAUAUUCUAUUUGUGCUGCAAGAAAAAUACAAAGUCUGAGCGUCCAAGGCGGCCGCCUAUUCUUCGUCACCUUCAGCUACGUAUAAUCAGUACGUAUUGAACACUAAUAAAAGAAACACCAAUACCCUUGGUAGUCGAGGUUAUGCAUAC